UUUCCGUAGGUGAACCAGCGGAGGGAUCAUUACCGAGUUUUAACAGUGUUAUCCAUUGCCUUCCUACCCCUCUGCAGGCACGGCGCAUCCACUCUGCACCAGUGCACUUCCUGUCGGUCUCAGAUCCUGAAGCCUGCUCUUUUACCGGAAGUUGGGAAGCGUGUCUCUGCCUGCGCUUAUCUCAAACACUAUAACGUAUCAGAAAGUGUAUUACGAUGUAACGCAUUUAUAUACAACUUUCAGCAACACAUCUCUUGUCUCUCGCAUCCAUGAAGAACC
rnacentral:misc_RNA from 1 species